UACGUAGGGCGCAAGCGUUAUCCGGAAUUAUUGGGCGUAAAGAGCUCGUAGGUGGCUUGUCACGUCGGGUGUGAAAUCCCAGGGCUUAACUCUGGGUCUGCAUUCGAUACGGGUUGGCUAGGGUCCUUCAGGGGAGACUGGAAUUCCUGGUGUAGCGGUGAAAAUGCGCAGAUAUCAGGAGGAACACCGGUGGCGAAGGCGGGUCUCUGGGCCGAAACUGACGCUGAGGAGCGAAAGCGUGGGGAGCGAACAGG
rnacentral:rRNA from 1 species